rnacentral:rRNA from 1 species
GAUGAACGCUAGCUACAGGCUUAACACAUGCAAGUCGAGGGGCAGCGGGAUUGAAGCUUGCUUCAAUUGCCGGCGACCGGCGCACGGGUGAGUAACGCGUAUCCAACCUUCCGUACACUCAGGGAUAGCCUUUCGAAAGAAAGAUUAAUACCUGAUGGUAUGAUGAGAUUGCAUGAUAUCAUCAUUAACGAUUUAUCGGUGUACGAUGGGGAUGCGUUCCAUUAGGUAGUAGGCGGGGUAACGGCCCACCUAGCCAACGAUGGAUAGGGGUUCUGAGAGGAAGGUCCCCCACAUUGGAACUGAGACACGGUCCAAACUCCUACGGGAGGCAGCAGUGAGGAAUAUUGGUCAAUGGACGAGAGUCUGAACCAGCCAAGUAGCGUGAAGGAUGAAGGUCCUACGGAUUGUAAACUUCUUUUAUAAGGGAAUAAACCCUCCCACGUGUGGGAGCUUGUAUGUACCUUAUGAAUAAGCAUCGGCUAACUCCGUG